rnacentral:lncRNA from 1 species
ACAAAUUUUAUCAUAAGCUUAUACAUCUUCUAUAUUGAACUUCUAUGUUAUGAUUGUUAGAUGUAUAUCUUAGAAGACAAUAUGAUUGACACAUUAUAAUAAUUUUAGGAUAUAAUUUUAUAUUUAAUAUAAUAAUUUGAUCAAUAAAAAAGGUAAAUUUAUUUAUCAUUCAAGUGUGAUGUGUCCUUAAAUUAUUCAUGAAAUUAAUUUCGAUAUAUAUUCUCAAGGUGUUGAGAAUUGAAGACAUGUAUUUAAUUCCUAAAUGCUCUCGGUUAUAGGAUCAUCAUGAGGAUGGUGAUCAAUCUGGAUAGACUAAUGCACAGAUCGAUUUUUUUGGGAUAGAUGGAUCUCUAAUCUAUAGUGUAGAGACAUUGGACGA